GGCCAGACUCCUACGGGAGGCAGCAGUGGGGAAUAUUGGGCAAUGGGCGAAAGCCUGACCCAGCAACGCCGCGUGAAGGAAGAAGGCUUUCGGGUUGUAAACUUCUUUUGACAGGGAAGAGCAGAAGACGGUACCUGUCGAAUAAGCCACGGCUAACUACGUGCCAGCAGCCGCGGUAAUACGCAGGUGGCAAGCGUUGUCCGGAUUUACUGGGUGUAAAGGGCGUGUAGGUGGGCGCUUAAGUCAGGUGUGAAAACUCCGGGCUCAACCUGGAGACUGCACUUGAAACUGGGUGUCUUGAGGGCAGGAGAGGAAAGUGGAAUUCCUAGUGUAGCGGUGAAAUGCGUAGAUAUUAGGAGGAACACCAGUGGCGAAGGCGACUUUCUGGACUGUACCUGACGCUGAGGCGCGAAAGCGUGGGUAGCGAACGGGAUUAGAUACCCCCGUACCG
rnacentral:rRNA from 1 species